rnacentral:lncRNA from 1 species
AACUUUCCAGUGCUUAGCAUGACAGCAAUUUGGAGGCCUUUUUUGAAUUGUAUAUCGAGGGGACAUGGGGAUUUCUGGGGCUUCUAGGAGGAAAACGGCACCUAAUGUCCUUUCUGAAAGGGAGACUGACCCUUUGGCAGGGCUCGUGAGUUUUAACAAAGACUUGAAACAGCGUGUUGCUUUUCCUUCUUUAUCCGUCUUCCCUGGACAAUGAGCCCAGUCUGGUCUCCCGCUUGGCCUGGGUCCCCUGGAGCCAGCAGCCCUGGGCGGCUGGCAUCAGGGGCUGUGCAUGAGGUACCUCUCCAGCUGGGCAUCUUUCCAGGAGUUGGUGGAGUGAAUGGUGAAAAUUGGGGUACUUCUCUGCUUCCCCAUCCUCUAAGGCAGAAAAGCACAGUUGCACCUCCAAACCAGAGGGAAAAGGCAGGUGCAUCGGAGGGCGGGGGCGUUGCUGGUCCACAGAGCAGGAGAGCCGGCAGGCAGAGGCAGCUGGCAUGAGCAGACUGCCCGUGUGGGAUCCCCUCCGCUCCUGCCGCCCUUCCUGUUUCUCUUGCAACUGGGACAUCAGGUGUGGAAUCAGCUGCCCGGUUCUGUCUGUCGAGUGAAUCUGACUAACACAGCAAGGCCCUGAUCGCCCACAUCGGUGCUCCCAGCAAACCUUCUGUCAUGUCUCUGAUGAUGUUUUCCUGCGGAGGUGAGACCGAGUCGGGCUGGAGGCCAGGCCUGGCCACUGACGUGGAGUGAUUUAUGGCAGAGAAGGUCCAGCCAGCCCAGAGUAUCCAGGUCCAGACGUGAAUUCCACACAGCGUGCCUCGGUAGCUCUGGGUUAAGUCCGCAGACGUCUGCAACGAAUAUGAUUGCAAGUGUGAAGGUGACAUGAUUUACUUAAAUCAGGCAAUUUCUCCAUUACAGCGCAGAAGCCUCAACUCGUAAAGACACUCUUCAGCAGAUGAACUAUAACGUCGCCCGGCAUCCGUCAUAUUAGCCUGCAGGCUCUCAACUUCCCACUCCUCUGCCUGCCCUGGACCUGCUCUGUCUUCAAGCCCAGUCUCCCGCCUGGCCCCGGAGGAGGUCCCCCGAGGCGGAGCGAGGACAGCCCAGCUGAAGCUGACCUUUUCUCAUGGGCGCUGUGUGAGAGCUACCCUCGUCAUCCACACUUGUCUUCCUUAGUCGGAAACAGAAGCUCUGCUGCCCUUCCCUCCCUGCACGGCAGACGUGCGACGUGGCCCUGGAGGAGGCCCCGUGUCCAGGGGCUCCCAACGGCUGAACCCGGCUGGAGGCCCAGGACGCCGUGGAGGGGCAGUCUCUGUGCGGAGAGAGGAUCUGGAGAGGCACAAACCCCCAAGCCCACGGCAGACUUGCGAGGAAGGGACCGAUGGCUCCUCGGGGGUGGAUGCGGUGAGAACCAGGUGGUGCAGCACAUCCCUCUGGGUCCUGUGCAGCCAGUGAUUUCAUCAGCCUGUGCAUUAAGCGGCAACACCGCACGAGGGGACAGAAGCUCUCGGGGCUCCUGGGGGCCUGUACCCCGGAUGGGCUCUUCAGAAGGAGUUCAGGGCCACUGUAGGACCCAGCACUGUCUUGAGCUCCCUGAUUCCAAGUGGAAAUGGUCCAGCAGAGGAGCCUCAGCUUUUCCAUCAUUGACAAAGGGAUUGGAGGAGAAGGUGACAAGAAGAAGAACGCACUGGAAGCUGAGAAUCAGGCUCUUGAAAGCCCCGAGGCCACCCCAGCCUCAGGCGGGUGAUGUCAACUGGAUCAUUCCUUCAUUCACUAUUCAAUGAAUGUUUAUUGAGGACCUACUAUGAGCCAAGCAUGUUCUACUUCUAGGUCUGAGAUAGACCUCGAACUUUCAGACCACCAGAUAAUACAUAAGUAGGAAAUGUAAUAAAUAAAUUAAAAAAUUCCA